UAAGCGGAGGAAAGAAACUAACAAGGAUUCCCCUAGUAACUGCGAGUGAGCGGGAAAAGCUCAAAUUUAAAAUCUGGUGGCCUCUGGUCAUCCGAGUUGUAAUUUAGAGAAGCGUCUUCCGCGCUGGACCAUGCACAAGUCUCCUGGAAUGGAGCGUCAUAGAGGGUGAGAAUCCCGUCUUUGGCAUGGAUGCACCAGGGCUUCUGUGAUGCGCUCUCAAAGAGUCGAGUUGUUUGGGAAUGCAGCUCAAAAUGGGUGGUGAACUCCAUCUAAAGCUAAAUAUUGGCGAGAGACCGAUAGCGAACAAGUACCGUGAGGGAAAGAUGAAAAGCACUUUGGAAAGAGAGUGAAACAGUACGUGAAAUUGUUGAAAGGGAAACGCUUGAAGUCAGUCGCGUCGACCGAGACUCAGCCUCGCCUUGGCUUGGUGUACUUCUCGGCUGACGGGUCAGUGUCAAUUUUGGGCCUCGGAUAAUGACAAGGGAAAGGUGGCACCUUUAUAGGUGUGUUAUAGUCUCCUGUCGGAUGCGAGGGUCGGGAUUGAGGAACUCAGCACGCGCCUUUUGGUGUCGGGGCUUCGGCCUACGCUACGUGCUUAGGAUGCUGGCAUAAUGGCUUUAAACGACC
rnacentral:rRNA from 1 species